AUUGUCUGUAGAGAAAAAGAAACGUCAAUUUUUAUUUUCUCUUAUCAUCUUUAACAUUCUGAUUUUCUCAAAUCUGAGAUAUUUGAAGUUCUUUUUCUGAUUCUUCCAUGUCAACAAAAGAAAUAAUAGAUUAAUUUAGAAGGUAAUCAUGUAGAGAGAAGCAUCGAUCAUUGCUUGUCCAUAUCGUUUUCAUCUCCACGAUGCAAGAUUGGAAUGGUUCCAGAUAAUCGAAAUAGGAAACAUGUUGGGGGAGAUUCGUUUAUUACAAUAAAGUGAGCAGGUGAUUCAAUCUUAUCAGUUGUGGACAGCCAUAUAUGAUUUGAGAUAGGUAUGAUGUAUUAAGAAGCAUCAAAAACUAAAGAAUGGGAGUUUUCUUUCACUUAGCCUCACUCACAAGGAGGUGGGUGGAUUUUUUACACAAAUCGCGUGAUGGUCAGAGAGAUUAUCCAACCUUCGUAAUUCUUGUAUAUGUUGACUUGGUUCUUGAGGGAAAUGGGUCAAAGUCUUUCAGGUUAAAUCCUAACGGAUCAUGUGCCCCUUUUAUCUUUGUCCACAAAUGAAUACCAUUCUGCAUCAGAUAAAAGUUAUGUUUUUUCUUUGUAGACACAAAUCUCGCAUAAGAUCCUCGUAGAAGGCAAGGAAAAUUUGUGUAUUUUUUAUUUUAUUCUUGAAGAUAAAUAAUUGGAGGAGGGGAAAUAAUUAAAGGUUAUGUAAUUUUCAAAAAAGGAUCAGCCUGGACUUGUUAUUUUUGAGUUGUA